UGACCUCGGAUCAGGUAGGGAUACCCGCUGAACUUAAGCAUAUCAAUAAGCGGAGGAAAAGAAACCAACAGGGAUUGCCCCAGUAACGGCGAGUGAAGCGGCAAGAGCUCAAAUUUGAAAGCUGGCUCCUUCGGGGUCCGCAUUGUAAUUUGCAGAGGAUGCUUCGGGAGCGGUCCCCAUCUAAGUGCCCUGGAACGGGCUGUCAUAGAGGGUGAGAAUCCCGUAUGGGAUGGGGUGCCCGCGCCCGUGUGAAGCUCCUUCGACGAGUCGAGUUGUUUGGGAAUGCAGCUCUAAAUGGGUGGUAAAUUUCAUCUAAAGCUAAAUAUUGGCCGGAGACCGAUAGCGCACAAGUAGAGUGAUCGAAAGAUGAAAAGCACUUUGAAAAGAGAGUUAAAAAGCACGUGAAAUUGUUGAAAGGGAAGCGUUUGCGACCAGACUCGCCUACGGGGUUCAGCCUGCCUUCGGGCAGGUGUACUUCCCCGUGGGCGGGCCAGCGUCGGUUUGGGCGGCCGGUCAAAGGCCCUCGGAAUGUAACGCCUCUCGGGGCGUCUUAUAGCCGAGGGUGCCAUGCGGCCUGCCCGGACCGAGGAACGCGCUUCGGCUCGGACGCUGGCUUAAUGGUCGUAAACGACC
rnacentral:rRNA from 1 species